rnacentral:rRNA from 1 species
CUUUAACGCUCCCGGUAGGCUUAANACAUGCAAGUCNUGCGAGAAAGUAUCUUCGGAUAUGAGUAGAGCGGCGGACGGGUGAGUAACGCGUAGGAAUCUACCUAGUAGAAGGGGAUAGCCCGGGGAAACCCGGAUUAAUACCGUAUACCUCCUUCGGGAGAAAGAAGGCCUCUCUUUGAAGCUUUCGCUAUUAGAUGAGCCUGCGUAAGAUUAGCUUGUUGGUGAGGUAAAGGCUCACCAAGGCGACGAUCUUUAGCUGGUCUGAGAGGACGAUCAGCCACAUUGGGACUGAGACACGGCCCAGACUCCUACGGGAGGCAGCAGUGGGGAAUAUUGGACAAUGGGCGCAAGCCUGAUCCAGCCAUACCGCGUGUGUGAAGAAGGCCUUCGGGUUGUAAAGCACUUUAAGCAGGGAGAAAAAGUUAUAAGUUAAUACCUUAUAACCGUGAUGUUACCUGCAGAAU